UUUUAAACCACAAUUUUUUUAAAGGACUUCGUGUUUUAAAUUAAUACUCAUUUAAUUCAAUAAUAAAUAAAGUAAACAAAGUGAAAACCAAAACCAAACAAGGAUGUUAUCUAACACCGUCACGUGACCUCUCCAUCCCCCAACGUCGUAGAGGUGGAGCCAGCGCUUCCAUUGGUGACCCCACGCGAUCGGCUUCUUGGCGAUUCGAAAAAAAAAACAACAAAAAUGUUGAAUUAAUUUUUUCAAAAUUUGGCGCACACUCCACAGGACGUCAACAACACUGUUUGUAUAACUGUUUAACUGUAACACAUUGUGGAAUUGCGCGAUAUCGCGCCGCUCACUUGUUUUCAAAUUUGAAGUCAGUCUACGCUGAUCCUUCACAGCUGAGAGUGCGACGAGCUGGAAAACGUUAUACGAGGUGAACGCCAAAAGUUCUGUAAAAGUCGCGUUGUGUUUUUCUUUUAAUCGAGACUUGUGAGUUGUAGUGAUGCACGUUUUGGAUAGAUUAUUAUCUGUGAUAGUUAAAUUUCUGUGAUACUUAUGAUUUAAAUGUACCAAAAAUGCU
rnacentral:lncRNA from 1 species